AAAUAAUCGUGGAUCGAAUUUUAAACUUCUUCAGAGGUGAGACUUGCAAAUGCUGCUCUUUUGUAACGUGUUUCUCACAAGCCAUAUUCUUCAUAACCGCUAUAAUUUUCUUGUCCUCCAUUUGUGUGCUCAUCGACGAAGUAUACAUAUUUGCGAUAGAGAGAAAAGAAA